CAUGUACCUAAGUGAUUGAAUACUGAUAAGAUGAAGGCUUUUACUUUUGUUCUUAUCAUUCUUUUUAUUUUCUCCAUUGGUAUCGGCAAUGAAAGAUUAUUAAAAGUAUCAGAGGCAAGAUUGUGUUAUGCCGAGACUGAAGGACAGUGUAAUCCAACAACAAAUAACGAAUGCAACAGGGACUGUAAGAGAAUAUAUGGAGACCAUGCAACUGGUCAUUGCGAUAUUACAAGAGAUUGUGUUUGCCGUUUCCCAUGUUAAAUUUGUAGUCCUAAAUUUACAACAUUGUCCCUUUUGAAUAAAUAAUUAAAUAAUGAGACUACAACAUAUUUAUAA